AUUGAACGCUGGCGGCAGGCCUAACACAUGCAAGUCGAACGGUAACAGGAAGAAGCUUGCUUCUUUGCUGACGAGUGGCGGACGGGUGAGUAAUGUCUGGGAAACUGCCUGAUGGAGGGGGAUAACUACUGGAAACGGUAGCUAAUACCGCAUAACGUCGCAAGCCCAAAGAGGGGGACCUUCGGGCCUCUUGCCAUCGGAUGUGCCCAGAUGGGAUUAGCUAGUAGGUGGGGUAACGGCUCACCUAGGCGACGAUCCCUAGCUGGUCUGAGAGGAUGACCAGCCACACUGGAACUGAGACACGGUCCAGACUCCUACGGGAGGCAGCAGUGGGGAAUAUUGCACAAUGGGCGCAAGCCUGAUGCAGCCAUGCCGCGUGUAUGUAGAAGGCCUUCGGGUUGUAAAGUACUUUCAGCGGGGAGGAAGGGAGUAAAGUUAAUACCUUUGCUCAUUGACGUUACCCGCAGAAGAAGCACCGGCUAACUCCGUG
rnacentral:rRNA from 1 species